rnacentral:rRNA from 1 species
UACGGGGGGGUAAGCGUUGUUCGGAAUUACUGGGCGUAAAGGCUCGUAGGCGGCCAACUAAGUCAUACGUGAAAUCCCUCAGCUUAACUGGGGACUGCGUGUGAUACUGGAUGGCUUGGAUUUGGGAGAGGGAUGCGGAAUUCCAGGUGUAGCGGUGAAAUGCGUAGAUAUCUGGAGGAACACCGGUGGCGAAGGCGGCAUCCUGGACCAAUAUUGACGCUGAGGAGCGAAAGCCAGGGGAGCAAAGCGGG